CCACGACAGCGGAGAGGAGAGCGGCGCGGGGGACUGAGGCUGUGACAAACCCUGUGCCCACGCUGCCGGGAGACUCAGGGCUGGGGGAGACAUGCCCUGGUCACCACUGCGGAGACUCAGGGCUGGGGGAGACAUGCCCUGGCCACCAGUGGUGAGCCAGCGAGACAGGACCCCGUGCGCGCUGACCCGGGGACGCCACGGAACUUGCUCGCGAUUCCUGCUCACAGCACGUUUCCUGUUCGGAAACCAGGAGAGCCUCCACGUGCCAACUAGCUCUGUCCACACAUCCAUUGCGCAGCUCUGCAGCGGAAGGACCUUCAGUAAAGACGCUGGUUUGUAAUGAGAGAAGUGUUCCAAAGUGUCACACGACAUUGUUUAUUACUAAAAGG
rnacentral:sRNA from 1 species